AGCUCUGGUGUGAGGUUCCCAAUGUUAAUCCAAGUCUCUGCCAACAAUGUCCUUUCUCACUGUGUCCCUGAUCUCCAUCCUCUGGCCCUGUCUGUCACUGGGAGGUUUGGUGACUCAGGGACCGCGGACAGUCACAGCCAGAGAGGGGGAGACAGUGAGUUUGAAUUGUCACCAGAAUAACAAAGACUAUUUUAUAAUGCUCUGGUACCUCCAACCCCAUCAGGGAGGCCUCACAUUGAUCGGGUAUAACCAAGCCUCAACAGUAUAUGAGGACAAGUUUAAAUCCGGCUACAACAUGACCAAGACACCGGACAGAAUGAACUCCACCCUGGAGAUCACCAACAUGAACCCAACCCAGGAGGGGGUGUAUUACUGCGCUUCACCAACACCAGUGCUCAACUUUCCCUGA